rnacentral:rRNA from 1 species
GAUGAACGCUGGCGGCGUGCCUAAUACAUGCAAGUCGAGCGAACAGACGAGGAGCUUGCUCCUCUGACGUUAGCGGCGGACGGGUGAGUAACACGUGGAUAACCUACCUAUAAGACUGGGAUAACUUCGGGAAACCGGAGCUAAUACCGGGUAAUAUAUUGAACCGCAUGGUUCAAUAGUGAAAGACGGUUUUGCUGUCACUUAUAGAUGGAUCCGCGCCGCAUUAGCUAGUUGGUAAGGUAACGGCUUACCAAGGCAACGAUGCGUAGCCGACCUGAGAGGGUGAUCGGCCAGCCUGGAACUGAGACACGGUCCAGACUCCGACGGGAGGAAGCAGUAGGGAAUCUUCCGCAAUGGGCGAGAGCCUGACGGAGCAACGCCGCGUGAGGGAUGAAGGUCUUCGGAUCGUAAAACUCUGUUAUUAGGGAAGAACAAAUGUGUAAGUAACUAUGCACGUCUUGACGGUACCUAAUCAGAAAGCCACGGCUAACUACGUG